AUUUUUAUUUUAUUUAUUUUUUUUUUUUUCCAGGGAAAACUUGAAGAGUCUUACACUUUUCAUCCUCCAGUCAUUGAUUUUUCUGUGUGGACACUGUGGUGAGGUGGUGUGAGCAAAAGGCACCUGCUUUCCUGCCCAUUUAAAGUCUAGACAUUGAAUUUGAUGGACAGAAUGUUGGCACCCACUGCAGAAGAGCUGAACAGCCUCAACACCAAAUCUCUGUCCUGAGAUACAGCAACAGGAUGUGCCUUGGAGAAGAAUCUCAGGAUAGAAUAUUUUUGAUCCAGUUCCAAAUCCGCAAGCUCAGGGUUCUGUUGGUCUGCAAGUAAGCUGGGGCAUACAAGGU
rnacentral:lncRNA from 1 species